CCUACGGGUGGCAGCAGUAGGGAAUUUUCGGCAAUGGGGGGAACCCUGACCGAGCAACGCCGCGUGAACGAAGAAGUAUUUCGGUAUGUAAAGUUCUUUUAUUGGAGAAGAAAGAGAAAUUUGACGGUAACCAAUGAAUAAGCUCCGGCUAACUACGUGCCAGCAGCCGCGGUAAUACGUAGGGAGCGAGCGUUAUCCGGAAUUAUUGGGCGUAAAGGGUGCGUAGAUGGUUGAUAUAAGUCUUUUGUAAAAAUGCUAGGCUCAACCUAGUAGGGCAAAAGAUACUGAUGAACUAGAGUACGGCAGAGGCAAGUGGAACUACAUGUGUAGCGGUAAAAUGCGUAAAUAUAUGUAAGAACACCGGUGGCGAAGGCGGCUUGCUGGGCCUGUACUGACAUUGAGGCACGAAAGCGUGGGGAGCAAACAGGAUUAGAUACCCUUGUAGUC
rnacentral:rRNA from 1 species